AUUCCUAAGGCAGGCACUGAGGACUUUGAGGGCUCCAGACAGAGCAGACCUGGGAAGGCCCUCGGUGAAACGCCUUGGAAACCUUGUAAGGGUAGGUGUGUAUGGUGAUAAGUGUUGGAAAAUGUCCUGAAUGUGGAACAGGAAGGCAGGGACGGAAAAUGAACCCUCCUGUAAUGCUGACCCCUCCCAUCAGUUGCAGUGGAGAUAGCUGUGUGUGCCCUUUGGGAGCUGAUUGCCAGGGCACCCGUUGGGCUGGGAUCAUGGCAGGGUGUUGUAAGCAAGGAAUGCCUGGCUUCUAAAACUCACCAGCUGAAUCCUAGAGGUUUCUUUGAAGAGCUGAGUUGAGGCAGCAGAAUUGGCCCCCCAGGAGGGACUCUGUGCCUGCUCUCCCGUGGCUCCAAGGGAUCUCUGGCCCUUCACGCCGGCACCGAGAUUUUCUCGGGAAGGGCCUCAGAUCCCCGGACCAGUCUGGGACACAGGCAAGAUCCCCCUGCAUUUUAGGACCAAAUUGGCCCCCCUGGAGGGACAGUGCUUUUGGUGCCCCCCGGGUUGGGGCACCCCGAGGACUCCAGCGCGCACCGAAAGGAUUAUUCGGGGAGAUCCUCGGGGUGCCCGGCCCUGGGGAGCUCAAAGCAAGGUCCCUGCCAUGGAUUCAGGCAUUCCUGAGAGUAUCCCAGGGGUACCUGUCCCUGCUAGACAGGGAGCUCUCUAAUGGACUGUAAUUGGGUUAUAAAAGUGGUGCUCCAACUGCAAAGGAACUGUGGGAUUGGGAUUAAGAAAUGAGCAGUGAUGGUGCAAUUGGCUGUUUUCUCUUGAAUGUAACUGUAAGAGCUGCAGGAGUGCCAGGUGUGUGUUCCAGUCCCCAGCAUUUGGUUUGCACAUGUCCUGGUCAGACACAGGUCCAACUUCCUCAGUCCUUAACCCAGUAGAGGGAGAAUGAAGGACUGGCAGUGUUAAGGUGAUUGGUGUGACAGGGGUUAAACUGGGAAAACAUUGGAGAAUUCCUCAGUUGGUGUAUUUGCCAAACUCACCCAAACCUGUGCUAUGAAGAGAUGGAGUGGAGUCUCUGAUCUCCUGGGUAGUUGUUCUGCAUCAUCUGGGAGUUUCUGGGAUUAGACGGGACUGUGCAGAGAGGGAGCAGUUUGUCCUGUGUAGUUGGGAUGGGUUUGUUCAGGAUGCCUUGGGAGGCAGGGCUGGAGAGGCCCCUCUGUUGGCUGUAGUGGUGGAAGGUUGUAGCAGCAGGGAUGGAGCCUUCGACCUCCUGCUCCCCCCGUGAGCCCCGACGGGACCGUGCCCUUGGCAAUGGAGGGCCCCCCAUUGCUGAGUCAGCGGUUCCGGGGGCCAGGAGGGAUGGGAUCAGGAUGCCGAGCUCCGCCCAGGGCCAGGGCUGUCAAUGUUCAACCAUGGAGAGAACUGAAAGCAGAGUGAGAUGGAGGCCAAGCUGCAGCACAAGGAUGGGUGAGAAAAGACCCUGGUCCUCAGGUGGAGCUUUGAAUUCCCUGGAAAAAUGGAUCCUGUCAGAUGGUUCAGGCCCUCUGUGGGUGCUGGAGCAGAGGCCUCUUUAAUUUAUGGUCACCCUAAAUAGCUGCAAGGACAGCAAGUUCUGACUGCAGGAUGAGGUGGGAAACAAAGUGCAGUGGUCCAGAGAAAAGCUGAGCUUAAAAUUGGUCCUGUGCCAGAGCAGCCUCGUGCAGUGCUUGUUGCUGUCCCUGAGUAUCCCAUUGCAGUGGAUAUUUCCAAGGGUGCCUUGUGCUGGGGGCACAAGGGGGCAGUUCCCUUUCCCUGGGCAGGGCAGGCAGGGCACGUUUCCCCCCUCGAGGGUGGCUCCACAGUCCCACCCUGUGCCCUGGGAGCAUGGCAGAACACCUGGACCCACUGUCCUUGUCAGAGAGGGCACAAGGGAUGGUUGGAUGGGUGAGGGAAUGGUUCAGGGAGUACAAGCACCAUUAGAGUGAGUAGGGCAGCACAUGGAAAGGAAGGGGGGAGUUAAUCCAGACAAAAUCCAAGCACCUGCCCAACCUGUGAUAGUUUUAGGAACUCAGAGGUGUUGUGGUCCCCAGGAACUGUUGCCCAGGACUAGGCAGGAGACUUCAGGCUUGGUCACCCCCAGAGCAAGGUGGAAGCCCAGCAGUUUAUUGGUUGGUUUGGCUUUUGGUGACAACAAGGUCCUCCUUUGGGACCAAUCCUUGGCCCGGGCCAUAAAGUCCCAGGGCAGAAGUGUGAGUUUGAUUGGGAAAUGAGCAGCAGGGAGGGUUGGAAACAGCUCAGGGAGCAAUUCAACAGGCUCCAGACGUGUGGCCAAUACGAGCUCCAGAGGGGGAACUGAAGGUUCCUGCCAGUGCUAAUGAUGCCAAUUGGAGCCUCUGGCAGAAGUAGGGUAGGAAUGAAGUGCCCUUAGGAUUUGGGAAUAGGAAGUUACUGGAAGCCAGCCCAAGCUAGACCCUGUUGGAGAAGCAGCUCUGAUGCACCAACUGAUAUCGUGCUGGAAAAAUAUGACACUGCAAUGUAAGUAAA